rnacentral:rRNA from 1 species
AAAUUGAAGAGUUUGAUCAUGGCUCAGAUUGAACGCUGGCGGCAGGCCUAACACAUGCAAGUCGAGCGGAAACGGCAGUAUUGAAGCUUCGGUGGAUUUACUGGACGUCGAGCGGCGGACGGGUGAGUAACGGCUGGGAACCUGCCCUGACGAGGGGGAUAACCGUUGGAAACGACGGCUAAUACCGCAUAAUGUCUACGGACCAA